rnacentral:lncRNA from 1 species
CACAAUAAGUUAGUAGUGAGUACGGAUCACGCGAUGACGUUUAAGCAAUUCUGCAACGGGUACAACGGAAGGACCCGCUGUACCAGCGGCGUUUGCCGACCCCUGCACGGGACUACUUGCCAACACAUUGGGAACAUAUACCUCACAACCACCCUUUCUUAUAUGUCAACGACGCAGACAUGGUUGUUUGCCGUUUGUUUACCGAUGUACAAUGACGAAGUCUGAGGGCGCACGUCGGAGCCUCAUUUUUUCUGUAUAAGCGUACUAACUGAGGCCUUGUGUCCAGUGAAGUUAGUACGGCCUGGCCGAGUUCUUUUUGAAUAAGGCCCACAGUGUUGUGCGGGAGGCGUUCCUAGCUAGGAACGCCUAUAGGGGCGCUGCACUCGACCCGUUCGGGGUCCACCUAAACAAUCGCAUCCCGCCGGGCACCCGAUAUGACGACCUGAACAUAAAUAAACGUGAACUCCUGGUAAAGAUACUUGUUUAUGAAUAAAACAUUAUAAUUGAGCAAAUUAUGCACCUCCCACCAUAUAUUCAUGCAUAUACUUGGGUGAAUACUAACACCGACGCUGUAAUAACAGUAGCAGUAAGUACAGACUCUCUGAAAAACUCGCGCAAAGGAGCCCGGUACACGAAAAGACGAAAGGCCCAGUGGAUACGUCUGGUACACUAACACUACCUCCUGAGCUCGAUUCCUGGGGAGACCCCCGAAUUAGUCGGGAGCGCGAGAUUAUGGCUAGCUGCUGAGAUGUGGAGUUGAGGUCACAGUUGAUGGACCAGAUUCGCACACUGGAUUGGUGGCGAUUGCCGAACCCUCCGUCUCUUCGGAUGUUCGGGUGAAUGGAUGCGGAGGGAUCCCUGAAGUCUGGAUCCACAGCCUUGGAUUUACAGUUCGUAUGGCGUAGUACAGUGUGGUGGAUGGUGCUAUAAGGUGAUAAAUCGUAGAAUUGACAAUGUGAUAAAGCGACCCAGAAGCCUCCCACUCUGUAACAUUACAGAAUAUCUGCUACUGUUCGCUGCCUCAGGCACCACUGCAGCUCCAUCUCGCUAACCUGGUUUUCCUGGAACCCCAUGUUGAAAAAGCCCGGGACGAAGUGCCACCGGGGUUUCGUUUCAAGUCUUAGAGUUGGCGGUUGAUGGUAUCAGUGCCUGUUGAUCAGGAAAGGCCUUUGCCUUCCUGGCUAAUAUGGGUGUGUUAGCCCAUGAACGCCUACAGGGCUAAUUAUGCUACCGUUAAACUCUUCAGCGUUGAGAUCCAAUGCUAUUUUUCUAAGCAGUUCUAAGCGAGAUGGACGUGUGGUUACACUCUAGCUAAACCACGGGGUUUUCCGCCGGAGUCACUGGAGGGGGUUAUCGAUAUCUAAACUGGAUGGGUGCAUCUCAUGAUACGGGAGCACGGUGGGUGUGGCUCACAAUGCCGAGCCCAGCAAGCGAGCGGGAGAGGAUGUCAACAUCCUCACUUGGCACCACAAUAAUGGCCAUUGGCCGUCUAAGGAGCCCCCUUCAGGCUUUUAUGGAUGGGCCCCCCAUCUGUGCGGGACUUGUAACUUGUAUUGUUGGUCCUUUGCUCGCGUGUUGGCAUCCCUCUGGAUGAUGUUGAGCUGGUGCAGUGGCCUGGAACCAUCGGGAUCGUCAAAAUGGGGGGCAACUCGUCAAUUAUUGCCCUGCAACACUGUCCUUUACAAUCAUGGCACUUGGUACUGGUGGACAACAGCACCGCAAAAUGCAACCGUGACCAUCUUUUUGCCCGUCGGUUUAUUUUGGAUGCGCAUGGUUUUGAUAAAUAAUGGCAGUGGACGUUGGAGAACAGAUGCACCACCAUGGCGGGAUAGCAUGGAAUGCUGAGGACAGUGCAGCAGGACUUGGAUGAACGUAUGUUGGGCAUUUUGUCUGUAUCAACAACAACAUCAUCAACAACACCGAUGAUGAAGGGGACAUGCCUCCGUCCUGGAAUCGCUUUGCAGGCUUGGCAACAUCCUUAAGCCUGUCUCCUUCGUGGUUCGUCGCUUUACAGCGCUGCGGCCAGUAGCAGUGGCGACCAUCGACUACCUCUUCAUCAACGGGUACACUGGAACGACUGCCAACUUAACUGUAGAGCAGUGGUACGUAUGCACUGCUUAGGUCCUUGCCUCCCUGUCUAGGUCCUAAGUCCAAAGCUUCAUUAUUAUGUUUUUCAUCUGGGCACUUUGGUCCGCGUCCCAUGUAUGCUGCCGCAGGCCCUUAACAUGUGUGAUCCUUGUCAUUAACAAAAGGCCAAUGUCCAUAUGUAUGUGCUCCAGAAGACGUCCCACGUCAUGUAUGUGUGUGUGUGUGUGUGUUGAAUCCUACUGGACUGCUGCUCACUCACUGGUGGUGCAGGUUCCGUUUCAAUGAUUUCAACCGCAUUGAAUCGGCAGAUUUCAAUGUGGCGCGUUACGUGGAGUUCAUGCCAGCAAUGCAAGUUGACACCUUACUUGCGCAAAACCCGGAGGUUGGUGCCAUUCUUCUGAAUGGUGUCUGCGAGUCCUCAGCACGCUUCUGCUCCGCACCUGGCCUUGAGCGCUACACCGACAUCCCAUCUUGUAUGGGUUUCCUGGCAUCAAUCCCGCUAUUCAAUCCACUGCGAACACAAGCCAACUCCGUGGCCUGUCGCUUUGUGCACGCGAGCCUGGUAAGAUUCGCGCCGCAGAUCCACUGCUCACAUAUUGGCCCAUCUGGUGGCGGUGUGUGUGUGGAUGAGCCAUACGCCAGCUACUACACCACCUCUCCCUUCGCACCGAACAGCUUUAUAGCGCCAUGAGAAGUAGGCUGGAGGUGAUAAAGCACCCGACGGGGUGAGGGAUAGAGCUAUGGAGUUGGCAAAGGAGGGUAGAUCUGUGUGUACAUACGCAUAAUGUGAAAAUCAUGAUAAUGCGUCCGCGACCUUGGCUGUAAUAACGUAGAUGCCUAUCUGAUCAUCCCGGGUUACGCCUUUGCUGUGUUACAAUGGUAUUGAGACCAGAAGACUUCCGUAAUAAACUUCGGGUCGGCGGUUUGGAUCAGGCAUCCAGCAGAUCGUAAAUUGGCGAUUUUAUGGUAAAAUGGAUAAACCAGCGCACUGGCGCGAGGUGGGAUGGCUCCUGUGCUCGAAAUGAUGGCCGAGGACGUCCAUUGCUAAGUGGGGGGCAAUGUAACGACGUAAAUGCCAAUCUGAGCACCCCGGGUUACGCCGUUGCUGUGUUACAUUGGCCAUCAGCUGCCUGGUUCGUAACUGCUGCUGACUUGCUGCUCUUAACAACAAUUCUUAAAUAUAUUGUUGAAUAUGAGGUAUACAUAAAACGUCCCCCUUAUUCAUGGCCCAUUAUCAUGCAUUACUUCAUGAAACACACAUGGCGUCUCCUGGUGCCAGACAGGCAUGGGCCCAUCCUUUCAAUCGCCCACCUCGACCUGCAUGUACUGUCUGAACAGUUGCAGUCUGGAUUCGCAGUAGCUAGGAGUUCGUUAUUUUACGGCUGCCGGAAAUAAUUACGAUGAUCGGAUGUGGCUUAUCUUUCAAUGUGCGGUUAAUUACGCGGUUAUAAAGAACGCUUACCUUAGCCGACAUACUUAACCGCGAGAUGCGCAUUAUUGGGAUUCGCUGCCACAUUGGAUUGGUUCUUUGUGUGUGGGGGAGGUUCUGGCGUGAUAACGCAAACUUACGCGUCGUGUCGGUGUCAUAACUUACAGUACCGACAUAGCUGAAUUAAUCCAUGCAGGACAUUUGUCGGACUGGCUGGUUGUCUGCCGGAUAUCGCUUAGGCGGACUUGCACUUGCUUCUUUAGAAAAGUAACGUGCUAGGUCUGCAGGACCAAGUGUAAUUAGGGCGUCCCGUCUGCAGGCUUGGCCGUCCAAAGCUCCGUUGUCUUGGCUGCUGCUGACCUUGCUUUGCUGUGGCAGAUCACAGAACGUGCCCGCCCGCUGUUCCAUCAACGCCCCCCAUGCUGAGUUCACCUCGGCCGCCCCCACGUGAUAUGCUAUUUGAAUUUCUUCAUUGGGCGUAUGUAGAGUCGACGCUAUCUUGGUAGGCAAACAUGUAAUACCGUAGUCCCACAUAUAAUUCGUGCCUGAUGAUUUCGGGUCACCCUCAAAAAAAGCCCUGGAACAAAUUUGCGAUUUUCUCCACGCUUAACUCUGAAACAGCUUGUGAAGCCCGAAGUCGAAGAGUGUCGAAAUGGAGACCCUUUCCCCAACGACGUAAAAACGCCGAACAGCCACGUCUGCGCCGUGUCAUGGGAUGUUAUGGAAAGUUCCUAACCAUGCAUAAGAAGUGUCUACACCUGGUUCAGUGAAGCGACCAGACCUGCCUGCCGAGUUGAUGCGUGCAACUGUGCAGGCUGGUGCACGCUGACAGAUGAAACUUCUCCAAAUAAGGCUGCCCAUAUAUACAUCUUUAUAUUAUAUGCUUUACCGAGAUAGACCUUAAAACUAUGGACCAAGCUCAUACGCAGUUUUAGGCUCCAAUGCUCGUCAUUUCACCUUGGGGUGACAUGCCGAGCACCCCUAACAUUCAUAGCCACUAGUCUUUAUGAAGAGCUUCAUAACAUUUGAAAAACUAUCAUUUUAUGAUUGCGACUUGCUGUACAAAGAAAAUACGCUAGAGGACCUUGUUCACCAUGCUCGCGCGGAAAUUUGCAUUCUGGAAAAAACAACUAGAAGGUUGUAGCUUUUACAGAAUCUGCUGUUCUGUAUGCCGCUGCAAGCCUGGCGACAAGCUGCACAGUCGGUAACCCUACCAAACCGGUCGGAAACCGGUCGCUUGGGUACCUAGCCGGUAGGGUAACCGACAUAACGAGCUAACGACCCAGUAACUGGGGGUUCACUGACCGAUAAGGUUACCGGUCGGUAAGGUAACCGACCGUUCCUGGUCGUUUACCGGGUCUUUAUCUCGAAAUGUCGGUCACCCUACCAAAGCGACUGGUUGGGUUAUAGUUAUAUGCUCGGUUGUUAUGCCAUAAGUGGAGGGAGGGAUGUACGAAGGGCGGGAUGUAUAGACGGAUGGAGGGGUGGAUUAAUGCAAGGAGGGAUGGUGUGUGGGACAGGGGCCCUUGACAUACCAGGGGCAUAACGUCACUCGUGGCCGCAACCCGUCGAGACCCUGGUAUUUCAGAGCACCCUCAUCCAGUCACCCUAGUUGACUUCUCAGUGGAUCGCUCAGGUUCAGCAAAAACCACCGGCAUCCACCGGAAUCUGCCGGAUCAACUGCGGGUUAACUCCGUUACUGAUCAGCCCGCAGGUGCAGUUUACAUCAGGGCACCACCAUCCAUCGGCUAGGUGUAAUGUUACCUUCCACCACGUAAAGAGUUACAACCCUGACAGGUCUCGAUCCCGAGAUCUCCCAGGCAUCGUUUUGUGCUUUACCGUAGUGCCUGACCUUUGUAUGUAGGUGUGUGCGUAUGUAUGGACCAACACACAUAUGGAGGUAGGGAGGGUGUAUGGAGGGAUGAAGGAAGGGAAGGAGGGAGGGAAAGAGGGAUGCUGCCGUGUUAACUGGUGUGGAGAGCAAGAGGAUGUUUUGAGACGUAGUCCGUUACUUUCUCCAUGUAUUGGGUUCUCCUUCGAGUGCCCAUCUUUGGGACGUAUUGCAGGGAAGGGCCAGGUCCUUAGACCCCCAGAAGCUCAGCAGCAGACGCUGUAAAGCCCGGAACCCAAUGAAAGCCUAGCGGCAUAGCCCGCUAUGGCAUACAAGCUCUCCCCAAAAACACAGACUGCUGGUCGCCUGAAACCCAUGCUCGUACCACGCCUUAACCAUGGAUCGCAGCGAACCAUCCUGGAUGCCUGACGUGGUCACCAUCUCAUCCUGAUGUCAUUGCAGCAACAGUGCAUGCAGAUCCGGUUUGGUGUCCAAUACAAACAUUUUGUUUACACCGUGAGACCAAAAGGUCUUAACGGACCGCACUGCACUCGACACAGUGUUAAAGCUGGCUCCUCAUGGGUAUGGCUCCAGAAUUUUGCACGAUGCAAUACGCUACUUAUAUUAAUGACCUUGUUCCUUGUGUGAGAACCUAUUGCGUGCGCGCAGCGCAGUUGCGUAUCUCUGAAGGCAGCUGUGGUGGUCUGGGUACCGAACCAGUCGGUGGCCGUAUCAUGGUAAGUGCUUAUUGGCCACAGGCUUUGCAGGCAGAUGUAUUGUUUCAAGUACCCGCGUCGCAGCGCUGCAGGUGGGCAAUGCGCAGUUGAGCUGCAGGUGACCCUGCAUACCGUCAUCGACAGUACAGCUCUCAUCGAUGGAAGGACGCAUGGUAUAACGGCGGCACAGAGUGCAGCAGGUUGUUGUCAUACAAUCUGAAGGCCAGGCACCACAUAUUCCAGGCUCAGGGAGCGGUUUCAACUGGGUUGAACUUUAGGUCCUCUGCUGCAGACGCGGCCCAGGUGCCUGAGGGACAGGCACAAGGAGUGAUAUGAUUGCCUGAGCUUAAUACACGGCCUGGUUAAUAGCACCUGGUUAAAAGCCGCCAGGGCAUCUCCACGCAUCCGCAAAGUAUCCUCGCUGGUCUUUAGUCCGUAGCAGCAGACAAGCGGAGAAGUUCGUUUGAAAAUAUAUAUCGUAACAAAAUAUGAUAUAUGGGCCUUGCCUUAGGCCUCCUGUGCCCUUUCUCUGGACAACCCUACAUGUCCGUAACCCUGUCUAUCGCGUACCUCGCCCGUAAUGCAUCGCUUCGCGUAUCAUCAGAUUAAGGCAGGAGCAUAAUUGCAUUAUGCAAAUGAAACUGUGAUUGGCAGUUUUACCAUGUUUGACGUUUUGUCUAUGGUAACUCAAGGCGUGCAAAGUGGCGCAAAUUGCAUUUAUAAACCUUUUUAGAAAGUAAAACAAAUGUGCUUCAUUAAAUGAGUGCGUUAUGUAUCAAGUAAGGAAUGUGACAAAGCGCUGAAGCCCAAAGGUACGGCAGCUCGGAUAGUGUACGGACUUCGAGCGUGUCCGCAAACGCUGGCUGCUAACGACGGAGCAAGCGGCAUCAUCAUCCAUUAUGGGAAGAAACCAUAUGGAACCUGGAUGAGAUUUUGAGUUGAGUUGCUAGGUAGCGUUUCUUUGCGGCAUUUGCGCACACCGCGCCAACUUGCUUCCGGCGAUGUCAUUCAUCCUAGUCUUUUCCUAAACCUGGUAUCUGGCCCUACCAGUUAUAAGGGAGUAGGUUGUUAAGGAAGGAUGGAGGAGGGAACAGCUAUUGAGGAACCGCCCCCUCCACCUCCGCAUCCGAAUGUGACAGUGAAGGAGCUGGCCUCUAUUUCACUUGCUGGGCUACAGGACUCCAUUCCACAGGCAAAUUCCGCUGUCUAAGUUUAUCUUGGCUGGUCCCCGAAUGCUUACCAUGCCGACCGCGGCCCUCGCCCUAAUGGUUCGUCACACAGGACUUCCAAAAAAUUGUUGUGCAUGGUCAAUCCAAGUCGCCAGGACGGCGCCGUAGGACUGCUUUUCAGCCCAGCGACCAGCAUCUGCCGACCGCCCGGCUUAAGUUGUUUUGUGUUGACAAAACAACAGGCAAGAUUGAUGAUAAUACGGUCUGUGUAUUAGUAUACUGGGUUUAUAUAUGCAGAAAUUGGCGUUGGUUUAUCGCCAGCCCUGCUCCGUAAGCCUUCGACCCCCGGUACCCUGGUCUUGGCGAACUGUCUACGCCCCUCAAAGAUGACAUAUCUUGUCUCCACGCACUGUGUGCAUUUCAGUAUGUACUUAUGGGAACCCAUCGCGCCGCACUGUAGGGAG